UACGAAGGGGGCUAGCGUCGCUCGGAAUCACUGGGCGUAAAGGGUGCGUAGGCGGGGCUUUAAGUCAGGGGUGAAAUCCUGGAGCUCAACUCCAGAACUGCCUUUGAUACUGAAGAUCUUGAGUUCGGGAGAGGUGAGUGGAACUGCGAGUGUAGAGGUGAAAUUCGUAGAUAUUCGCAAGAACACCAGUGGCGAAGGCGGCUCACUGGCCCGAUACUGACGCUGAGGCACGAAAGCGUGGGGAGCAAACAGG
rnacentral:rRNA from 1 species